rnacentral:rRNA from 1 species
UGGGGAAUAUUGCACAAUGGGGCGCAAGCCUGAUGCAGCGACGCCGCGUGGGGGAUGAAGGCCUUCGGGUUGUAAACCUCUUUCGCUAGGGACGAAGCUUUUGUGACGGUACCUAGAGAAGAAGCACCGGCUAACUACGUGCCAGCAGCCGCGGUAAUACGUAGGGUGCGAGCGUUGUCCGGAUUUACUGGGCGUAAAGAGCUCGUAGGUGGUUUGUCGCGUCGUCUGUGAAAGCCCGGUGCUUAACACCGGGUCUGCAGGCGAUACGGGCAUAACUUGAGUGCUGUAGGGGAGACUGGAAUUCCUGGUGUAGCGGUGGAAUGCGCAGAUAUCAGGAGGAACACCGAUGGCGAAGGCAGGUCUCUGGGCAGUAACUGACGCUGAGGAGCGAAAGCAUGGGGAGCGAACAGGAUUAGAUACCCUGGUAGU